UACGGAGGAUGCGAGCGUUAUCCGGAUUUAUUGGGUUUAAAGGGUGCGUAGGCGGACGCUUAAGUCAGCGGUAAAAUUGCGGGGCUCAACCUCGUCGAGCCGUUGAAACUGGGUGUCUUGAGUGGGCGAGAAGCACGCGGAAUGCGCGGUGUAGCGGUGAAAUGCAUAGAUAUCACGCAGAACUCCGAUUGCGAAGGCAGCGUGCCGGCGCCCAACUGACGCUGAAGCACGAAGGCGUGGGUAUCGAACAGG
rnacentral:rRNA from 1 species